rnacentral:siRNA from 1 species
UCGCCGCGAUCCGAACACUU